ensembl:lncRNA
GGGAUCACUGCCUUCUUUUAUAUGUCACAGAUCUCACCAUCCAUAUUAGACCCUCAUACUAAUUUGAGAUUGGCCAAAACCCUGGAUCUUUUUUGUCUGAAUUCCUGUCAAGACAGUCCUUCCUUCCUGGACCUGUACAGCUUUUUAAAUAACAAGAAUAACAGUAGUAAUGACAACUUGAUCCUUCCAAUCUCACCAUGAGAUUUUUUUUUUUUUUUUUGAAAGUAUCUGCAUUGUGCCUAGGAGGAAACUGAGGUUCAGAGAGGUUACAUAACCCUCCCAAGGUCACACAGCUGGAGAGUUGAAAGCUGAGUGCAGCUGUCUGACCCUGACCAUCACACUCAUGUAUUAGAGAGUAUUUCCUAAAUGCUGGCCUAAGGGGGCAUGUCGCCUCUGGCCUUGCUGCAUGUGUCUUUCAGUCUCUGCCCAAAGUUUCACUUGGUUGAGUGCCUUCUGGGUCCUGACACUGUCGUCCACAGGGUGGCCUCCCCUCACCCCACCUCCCAGCCGCUCUGUGCCCACCACCUUCACAUUAAACGAGACUGGACUGAGGCGCAGACCCCACCACUCCCUGAAGACUGAAACAGUGGGCUUUUCAUGUUGGCCCCCAAGCCCACAUCACACCCUAAACUCUUUGAUGCCUGGGCCCCUGAUGCCCCCACAGCCUAAGCAUAGGGCCAGCUUGGACCCUCUUUUCCAACCCCUCAUCAGGGCUUGGCCACCUGCCACCAAACCCUGAUGCCUCUGAACUGACCACUGCCUCCGAACCCCUGGUGCCAGGAUUACCCCCUGCCCAAGUGGCACCCCAAGACCCCUCUUCCCAGACUGUCCAGGUGCUGAGGCCAGCUGCUGCCCACGUGGCUGUCCUCCAACACUGACUAUAGCCUUUGCCCUUCUCCUGAUGCCUCCCAGCCCAGAGCUCACACCGUGCUGCAGGAUGAGGGAGUUCUCUAAGCAUGAGGCCCAGAUGUGCCCAUGGGAAAAGGAAGGGGUGGACCCAGGAGGCUGCCAGGGACGGGGCUCAGGUUUGCAGCCACCAGGUUUGCAGCCCAUCAAGGAAAAGAUUCCUAGAGAUUCCUAGGGAAGCCAUUCAUGGGUCUGUUGGCAAACCUUUGAGCAAUACCCAAGCAGGAUACCCCAAACCUGACAGGCUCUAUCAGAGACUUGCCCUUGGGCCUCAAAGGACAUAGUUACCCACAUCAUCAAACACAGUCACCCACAUCAUUAAAAAUGCAGUCCUGACUGGGCAUGGUGGUUCGCGCCUGUCAUCCCAGCACUUUGGAAUGCCAAGGUGGGUGGAUCACUUGAGCUCAUUAGGAGCUCAAGACCAGACUGGGCAAUGUGGCAAAACCCCAUCUCUACCAAAAAAUACAAAAAAAAUUAGCCAGGUGUGGUGACUCACACCUAUAAUUCCAGCUACUAGGGAGACUGGGGUGGGAGAAUGACUUGAGCCCAGGGAGGCGGAGGUUGCAGUGAGCAGAGAUUGUGCCACUGCACUCCAGCCUGGGUGACAGAGUGAGAUCCCAUCUCAAAAAAAAAAAAAAGAAAAAAA